GUCCGUGGUACAGUCCUGAGGCACAGCUGGGCUUCCCAAAGUCUGGGGCGGGUUCCCAGCCAAGUCCAGGGUGGUGGGUUAUAGAGGAUUGCUAUCGGGCAACAUGUGAUGUUUUUCUACUGACUGUGAGGAAGCAAACAACCUGCGGGGCAGCAGUCCUGCUCUGCACUGCAGUGGCUGUAACAAUGUACUGAAGCAAGGAAGAUUCUGUUUGGACGAUUAUGAGAGAGAAGCACAGUGCUCCGCUGGUGGUUUCUCUCCAGGACGGGUCGGGUCGCGGUGGCAGCAUGCUUAGUUGGAUAUUCCAGAUGUCCUUGUGCCCAGCAGCGCUUUCCAGUUUUGCCUGGGGGAUCUUGAUGCGUUACCACGGCAGAUAAGACAUGAUAUCCCCCCCAGUGAGUCCUGGUUCUGCCCUGGGGUCUCCUCCCAGUUGGUCGUGCCCAGAAAACUUCCAAAGGGAGGUGCCCAGGAUGGAAUCCUAAUCAGAUGCACCUCAGCUGACUUCUCUCGACACAACGGAGCAGCAGCUCCACUCCGAGCUCUUCACAGAUGUCUGCACUCCUCACCCUACCUGUAAGGCCGAGACCGGCCACCCUCCUGAGGAAACUCAAGCCCAGUGUUCAGGAUGCCCUGGUACCCUGCUCACCUGACACCCCUCACAAACUGCACCCAGCUCCAUUUCUGUCCCCUGCAGGUAGGAUCCCCUCCCAGGUCUAACUGCAGGAGGCCUCUUUGUCUGGUCCCUCACCUGAGACCCCUACCCGGAGCUGUGGACCCUGACAACAUAGCUUCCAGGAUCACAGACCCCUCCAAAACAAUAAGGUGGUCUUGUUUGUCUGGAGUCAGACGGCGAGAUGAAUCAACUACAGGGACCAUGCGGCCCAGACGACGGUGCUCUGGGUUCUGUGAGAACAACAGGGGCCCUGGCAGAUGGCGUGAGGCAGGUACGGUGCAGGGGAUUCAUUUAAACACGUAAGGCAAAAAAAAAAAAAAAAUCCCAGUUCUCAUAAAGAGCAGCGGAGACGAGCGAAGCACGAAACACAUCCAGCUGCAAAAGAGGAAUAAAAGCAAAGUAGAGGAAAAACUCAGACAGCUGUGGACAAUGGAGGGGGUCUGUGUUCGGUCCACAACAGACUCAGGGUCGUCGUGUUCUUUCCGACGGCUCCUCUCUGAGUCCUUGUAUGCUGAUUUUGAUUGACUACGAGGAGCCCCUUUGUGUCUUUUUGAGAUGAAAACAGAUGGCAGCCAUUCUUUCUACUCCUGCGCUGUUAAACCUGAAGGACGUCCGAGGGGUAAUAAUGACCGAUCUCGCCCGAGACGCUGGCACCGCCGACCUCCACUGCAAAAGAAGUUGCAUAAUAAUUGAAAUUAUUCCACGGCUGACGUGGGCGGGGGGGCUUUAGAGCAAUCCAGUUUUUAGAAUUUGACGAGGACAAAUCCUGAUGAAAUAUUCGUGCUGUCCCUAAUCCUCUUCAAUCAUAAACAGCUGUCCUGGGUUAUGGAUGUGACUGUUGCUUAACCUGCAGAGAGAAGCAGCCUUUGAUCUGGAUUUGGCUCUGCCCCACACUAACCUGAUCCUUUUUUCCCCGCCAUCUGCCAUUUAUUUUUAUUUUUUUUAUUAUUAUUAUUAUUACUCAUGUUUUUUAAAGUACAUUUGGAAGGCUAAACCGCAUCAGAAAGAGGUCAUAUUCCUUUAUGAGCCUUCACUUAACUCCCAUUUAAGCACACUUCAUUGAGCAUGUACACACACACACACACACACACACACACACACACACGUAUCCAGGUUGUUAUUCUUAUUUAGCCCCGCUGGCAUCUGGGUGUUUCUGAGGUGCAACCGCAGUCAUCACCUUCCUCAAGUCGGUUGCAGAUUUAAUAUGUAUUGUACACCAGUUCCGUCAGCCUGCAGGCGACUAGUUUUCCUCUUUCAGCUAAUUAUAUAAGUUCGACACGUUGUUUACAUGUAUGAAGGUCGAGGCCGGAUCUUAAUGUAAAGACCCUCUGGUGUGAAUUUCACAUGUGGAGAAUAUAAAGGAUGUAUCUGCUGUAUUUAUUCCCCUCUCGAGCAGCAGCAGCAGCAGCAACAAA